GUCAAAGCCGACCAUCGCCGGCUCCGCCGCCACGCCACUAGGCCGGCCGCCGCGGCGGUGCCCGCGGGCAGACAGCGGUUCGUCCACAACUAGCGGACUCUCCCGGUAGCCUGAUACCGCUCGGAGAUUUGAACCCCCCUGUCGCCCCCGUCGCCGAGGGGCGAGUGCACGUCUCGCUAUGGCCGCCGCGGGGCGCGCGUGGGACCCGACCGUCUCGCUGCGGCUGGGCCACCCGGCGCUGGUCCUCCUCGAGCGCUGCCGCGGGGCGGCGCCGUUCCGGGCCAUCCUCGCCCACCUGCUCCGCCUCGGCCUCGCCUUCGAGACGUUCCCCAUGAGCCGGCUGCUCCACUUCGCCACCGCCGUCUCCUCCCCGCGCCUCGCGCGCGAGGCCGAGCUCCUCUUCCACCACUUCACGCCCCGCCCCAACCUCUACAUCUACAACCUCAUGCUCUCCGCGGCGGCGGAGGCGCGCGACUCCUCCUCCUCCUCCUCCUCCCAGCGCCGGGCGGCGGCUCUCUACAGGUCCAUGCUCGCGUCGUCUGUCCACCCCGACGAGCGGACCUUCCUCGCGCUGCUGAGGUCGGUGGAGCGCCUGCCAGCGGGGAGGCAGGUGCACGCCCAUGUCGUUACGAGUGGCUUGCACUCGCGCGUGUACCUGCGGAACUCGCUGAUCAAGAUGUACCUCGACGCCGGCGAUGUGGAGACGGCCGAGCUGAUGUUCUGUUCAACGCCAGGGUCGGACACGGCAUCCUGCAACAUCAUGCUGUCUGGGUAUGUGAAUCAAGGGUGCACCGCGAAGGCUCUGCGGUUUUUCCGUGAGACGGCGUCGCGAGGGAUUGCUGUGGAUCAGUAUACAGCUGUUGCUCUGCUCACUUGCUGCGGGCGCCUGAAGAAUGCAAUUCUCGGGAGGUCUGUUCAUGGUGUUGUCAUGCGGAGGAUGGAUCCAGAUGAUUGGGGAUUGAUUCUGAUGAAUGCUCUUUUGGAUAUGUAUGCAAGAUGUGGGGAAAUGGAUGCAGCUAUGAGAGUCUUUGGUGAAGCUGACGCGAAGGAUGUCAUUUCGUGGAAUACAAUGGUUGCAGGGUUUGUGAAUGCUGGCAAGUUGGACCUUGCCAGAAAAUAUUUCUUUGAGGCACCUUGCAGGGAUCUAAUAUCCUGGAAUGCGCUUCUGGCUGGAUUCAUGAGUCACAAAGAUUUCAGUGCAAUGAUAGAACUAUUUAGUGAUAUGCUUGCCAGUCGAGUCAUUCCUGAUAAAGUGACUGCUGUUACCUUGAUCUCUGCAGCCAGAAGUAAUGGAUCGUUGAAUCAUGGAAGGAGUAUCCACGGUUGGGUAGUGAAAGGAUUUGGGCUCCAGGAUGCAUUCUUGGCAUCUGCUCUUGUAGACAUGUAUUGCAAAUGUGGAAAUGUGAGGGGAGCUUAUUCUGUGUUUGAGAAGGCUUUGGACAAAGAUGUUACCUUGUGGACAGCUAUGAUCUCUGGCCUUGCAUUCAACGGCCAUGGAACUGAAGCAUUGGAUCUAUAUUGGAAGAUGCAAGCUGAGGUUGUAGCACCUAAUGGUGUCACAUUGCUUGCUGUUCUCAGUGCAUGCAGUCAUGCUGGCCUGCUGGAUGAAGGAUUCAUGAUUUUUAAUGCUAUGAAGCAAAAAUACAAUAUCGAACCAGGAAUAGAACAUUUUGGGUGCAUGGUUGAUCUCCUUGCACGAUCAGGUAGGCUAACUGAUGCUUUAGCUUUGGCUAGGAGGAUGCCAAUGAGGCCAAGUCGGUCAAUAUGGGGCUCCAUUUUAAAUGCGAGUUUGGCUUGUGAAAAUACUGAAGUUGCAGAGAUUGCUUCAAAAGAACUUCUUCAUCUUGACCCGGCAGAACAAGGUGGAUAUGUCUUGCUUUCGAACUUGUAUGCGGCUGGAGGUCAUUGGGACCACAGUGACAAAGUGAGGCAGAACAUGGAAAGAAAAGGAGUGAGAAAAUCAGCAGGUGCUAGUAAUUUUGGAUGCUGAUGCUUCUGAUGCUAGUUUCAUGAUGCGAGCUUGAAUUGAUUGUUGACCUGAUGUGAUGAUUAUGACUGACCACAGAACCAAGCCAUUCCGGCAACGCAGAGAUCUGGCAAGCAACUAUGAUCACAUUUUAUAAACUGGUUGCAGGUGAAUAUGCUGUUGUCAGCAUUGGCCACUCAUUCAAGACAUGGUGCCAUUUGGACGUGCACAGUGGAUGAUCCAGUAAAUUUUGGGAGAUGACACAAUUGAGUACAGAUGCCCUUAACAAUGCACCAGAGAAGGGCAUGUCAAGUCUUAUUUUUUUUUGGAGGUACAUAAAACAUGCCAGAGCCCGGAUCGGAGAAGUGGUGAAAUAUGAAAUUGCUUUGCAGUUGUUAUAGUGGCAGAUUCAGGGAGAUGGCCCUCUAGUGCUCUAGAAACCUAGAAGUUAAAAUUCCCAGCUCCCAAUUUUAUGAACAAUAAUACCUCAUGUCACAUGAUGAAGGCAAGAGAGAAAGGAGUUUGCCAAGCCCUGAUACAGUUCGAGGAUUUCAAGCCAUUAUGUUGGCAUGGACCAAUAAAUCAGCCUCAUCGAUCCGACAUGCCUGAGCUUGCCGUAGGACUGUCAAUGGCACUGGUUGUAACUUACAAGCAUAUAAGUGGUCAGCUUGUCGGUCCAAUUCAGAGGCAAGAAGGCAGGAUAUCAAACAUACAAGCAGAUAAGUGGUCAGCUAAGUUAGAUGGUGGAUGCAAUGUCUGGUUGAUCCAACCUCUGGAGGAAGUUCGUGAUGUGAUGCUCACUGAAUUUCUGCAUUCCUCUGGAGAAAAGGUAACAAUGUGUGGAUAGUCCAAUCAAUUUCUGACCUCAAUUCUAUAGAAAACUGAAGCUAGUAGAAACUAGAAAGAAUACGGAAUGAUAAAACAGAGUUGUUCCAAAACUAUUGUUGAUCUAGAAAGAAUACAGAAUUUUUUUUUUGCACAUCUGAUGUUCUGAACGGCCUGGUUGAGGGUCAGGGUUCAAAAACGUUGGUUUCUUGUAGCAAACUUUUAUGUGCCUGUAGCUAUGCAUAGGGAUGUAGUAGCCACAUAAAAUUUCAUUUAUGAUUUCACAUUUGCUAUGUUGCCGUUCGUUGGGUAUGGAAGUAAAUGCCAAACUUAUUUCAAAUCUACCAUAUUUCAAUCU